GUGGCCGUAGCUCAGCUGGUAGAGCAUCGGAUUGUGGCUCCGGAGGGCGCGGGUUCGAGUCCCGUCGGUCACC
rnacentral:tRNA from 1 species